GAUAAAGAGAGUGGCAGAGAGAACGUAGUUAACUGCCAAGAGACAGAAUAUGAAGUAGAGACUAUAAAGUUGAAAAGGCCCAACCUUUCUCCAAUCUAAUUCGAGGUGAUUUGCCCAAUUCUCUGAAUUCACGAUGAAAUCUGCACUUAUAAGCACUAAUUCCUUGCGCACCCAUUUACUCCGUUUGGUGCGCAUAUAUCCUCUAAGCCAAAGAAUCCCAGUGUAUUCUGCAUAAAACCCAUUACUUUGCCCGCCAUACUCUCCUUGAGAUCCCAGUCCAAGCCAUCCAGAUUGGUUGAGCUUUGCGCUUCCCAUAACGCAAGCCCUUCGAAUGCCGAACUGAAGGAUCGUGGGGUGGAGGAGGUUUCGAGUGAAGACUUUGUUGAAGAUGAGAAUUCACAAAGCCGAUGGAAUGUGGAAGUGGGGAGCCCUAGUGUUCCGCCCAAUGUUGUGCCGGCGGCCAAGUUGAGCUUGAGUGACCAAGCGUUCUUUCUCCUGCCUUCAUUGCUUGCACGACUUCUGUGGCAUUCACUAGCCUUAUUACUGCAGCUGUCCCAACACUAUAUGUAAGUAGUCUGACUUUAUGUUUAAGUGCAGAAUUUUUUUUUUAUUAUUAUUAUUAUUAUUAUUUUUUGGUGUCCUACUCCCAGCACCACACGUCAGGCUUAAUUCAUCUCACUUAAGUCUAUUACUACAUUAUGACUACCUGUUCUUUUGCAAUAUGCCUAAAAUA